AGAGUUUGAUCCUGGCUCAGGACGAACGCUGGCGGCGUGCUUAACACAUGCAAGUCGAACGAUGAACCAUUUCGGUGGGGAUUAGUGGCGAACGGGUGAGUAACACGUGGGCAAUCUGCCCUGCACUCUGGGACAAGCCCUGGAAACGGGGUCUAAUACCGGAUAAUACUCCUGCACUCAUGUGUGGGGGUUAAAAGCUCCGGCGGUGCAGGAUGAGCCCGCGGCCUAUCAGCUUGUUGGUGAGGUAAUGGCUCACCAAGGCGACGACGGGUAGCCGGCCUGAGAGGGCGACCGGCCACACUGGGACUGAGACACGGCCCAGACUCCUACGGGAGGCAGCAGUGGGGAAUAUUGCACAAUGGGCGAAAGCCUGAUGCAGCGACGCCGCGUGAGGGAUGACGGCCUUCGGGUUGUAAACCUCUUUCAGCAGGGAAGAAGCGAAAGUGACGGUACCUGCAGAAUAAGCGCCGGCUAACUACGUGCCAGCAGCCGCGGUAAUACGUAGGGCGCAAGCGUUGUCCGGAAUUAUUGGGCGUAAAGAGCUCGUAGGCGGCUUGUCACGUCGGGUGUGAAAGCCCGGGGCUUAACCCCGGGUCUGCAUUCGAUACGGGCUAGCUAGAGUGUGGUAGGGGAGAUCGGAAUUCCUGGUGUAGCGGUGAAAUGCGCAGAUAUCAGGAGGAACACCGGUGGCGAAGGCGGAUCUCUGGGCCAUUACUGACGCUGAGGAGCGAAAGCGUGGGGAGCGAACAGGAUUAGAUACCCUGGUAGUCCACGCCGUAAACGGUGGGAACUAGGUGUUGGCGACAUUCCACGUCGUCGGUGCCGCAGCUAACGCAUUAAGUUCCCCGCCUGGGGAGUACGGCCGCAAGGCUAAAACUCAAAGGAAUUGACGG
rnacentral:rRNA from 1 species